rnacentral:lncRNA from 7 species
ACACUUGACAGCAUAAGUAUUACUUUAAUGCAAUAAUUACUAGAGAGGUAAGUAACAUUAAUUGCAUUUAUUUAUUCUCUUGGUAUGAGCAGCAACAUUAAAGCCUACAAGUAACAGAAUCUCUGUUUGACAGGACCAUUUCAUCCCAUCGAUGUGUUGCCAUAAAUAGAACUGAGAUAUAAAUAAGGGAAGCUUGCCUUUCCAACUUCAGAUUGCUCCAAAAGUAAUGCUUGCAGCACCACCCCGGAGAUCUGGAAGAGAAUACUCUCCCUGGCAGAAAAUUCAGAGUGCAUCUUGGAUGUACUGUGCAGCGUUCUCCAGGACCAAGAGUUGUGUGGGAUCUUUAACAUCACCCCAGCGGAGUUGGACCUCCUUCAGCUGACUGUGGUGCAUCCCACUGAAGAGAACCUGCAAGAGCUGUGUAAGCCAGCACUGCUCCAGAGGCUUCUGAAGAUUGAAAGCCUGCCAGUCCUCUGGCUGGUGCUCAGAGGCCUUGUCCUGCUGUCUGAGAGACCUGAGAUGGCAAUAGGAAUACGGGACCUGCUGCCAGACGUCAUGAAGACCUUGAGGUUUGCCAACACGUCCAAGGCGAGCAAGAUCUCCAGAAAUGUGAUGACUCAUGUGGGGAAGAGAGAGGCCCAUCCCAUUGUUGUGGAGCUGGCUGAGAAGCUCCUGCCUCUUUUCAGUCAUGUGUCAAGUGAAGUGCAAGUAGGUUCCAUCCUCCUCUUCAAAGAUGUGAUGGAAGCUGUCGUGUGGUGGCAGAAGAGAAACAUGAGGAAGACUGUGCACAGGGGCCUGCUCCCUCUGCUCUUUCAGAUGAGCGAUGAGACCCCAAGUGUUGCAGAGGCCUCUGGAGAAGCCCUCGUAUGUUGUGCAAAGUUCCUGAAGUGGAAGGAGCUCAAGCGCCAGGCCAAGAGAAAGGGAAAAAUGGAGAUCAAGGAGUGCUUGCUGCGGCAGGACAGGCAGACGGCGAAUGAAUACCUUUGGCUGAGCCUGCCAUACCUGCAAAAUUCUCAGGCCUCUUUGCGAUAUGAGGCUGUUGAAUUCAUUGGGCUGGCUUUGCAGCACUCCGGACACCAAAGCAGGGAGAAGCUGAAUGUAAUUUGCAGUGCCCUCCAGCCUUUGAGAGGCGAUGCCCACCCAGCAGUCCGUUCUGUGGCAACUGGAAUAAUCCAGAGAUGUCAAGGCCAGAAGGCAGAACCACCACAGAGGAGGCUCAUAGGGAUGUGCUGCUGGCCCUGCUGAGCCAGCCAUCUGUCCUUAUCAAGAUGACUCUGAUUAAAACUGGGAUUACAAAGCCAUUCCCUUGCAUGGGGAUACAGAUCCACAUCCAUGGCCUUGAAUGCCUCCAGGGAUGGGGUAUCCACAGUCUCCCUUGGCAACCUGUUCCAGUGCGUCACCACCCUCUGGGUGAAAAACUUCUUUAUAUCCAACCUAAACCUCCCCUGUCUCAGUUUAAAACCAUUCCCCCUCGUCCUGUCACUAUCCACCCUCAUCAACAGCUGUUAAUCAAUCAAUCAAUAAAAUUUUUAAAAUG